UGUUUUUAAGGAAAAAUACCAUUUUUUAACGCACACACCAUUAAUAAUUAACCGCUGAACAAAAUGAUAAAAUGUUUAUACAAGUGAACUUGACAUAACCUAACGGUCCAUGAUAAGGCAAUGCAUGACAAAGUGUACAAGCUUAGAUUUGCAGGGAGCACUCUACGCCAUUUACCGACAAUUGAUCAGGCCUGAAACUACUGUCCAUCCCAGCUUUUAGCAGUUCACUCCACCAUAUCAGCAGCACCAUCAGGCUCCCCGGUCUGAGUGUCGACAGCCCUCCGCUUCCUCGACUGCUGGGACCUGACAAAUUCUUCAAUGCGCAACUUGAGAUCUGUAUCUGGUAUCAACAUGUCUUGAGUGAGCUGGGAGCGGUUGAACGGAUCAGUACUGUCACUGAGCAAAUGCCGAACAAUAACUGGUCGAUCUACUGUGACCCGCGACGAUGGUAGUAUCACAGGAUCAUUCAUCAGAGUAUACUGGAUCGGAUCAAGAAAUUCGUCUGGUAUGUCCCCAAGGAUAGCCUCAGCGUCCAUGGCCUCAGCGGCAGCAGCUUUUGCUUUACCUGCAAGUUGCAUAAACUCCUGUAUGAUUUGGGGGUCUACCCCAAUCUUCCACAAAAUAUUAGUUGCGCUAGCAAACAACUGCUCACUGUAUGACCUUCCGUCUUUUGAGAUUGCAGCUGGGAAGACAGCUUCCUUAUCACCCCUUGCAAUGUGGACAUAGAUGGUAGCAAUCUGUUUCAAUAGCUGCUUCGGUUUGAACUCAUACUUCUCUGGAUCUUUUACAGUCAAGGAUUUCCUCUGGGGACCAGCAAGCUGCAAGAGGAAGUAAUUUAACAUGCUCGCCACCCUUUCCACCAUUUCUGGAAGAAGCAAAGGUGCUGGAAUUUGUUCUGACGUGAAAGCAAGCAUCCCAACAUCCUCAUUUGCGAGCUUCAUAUCAAAUCGAGCAAUAUUCUCUGACUGAUGAAACGCGCGCAACCGCUCCUCUCUUUCUUGAGCAGGCCUGCUAUCCCAUGCAACAGUAUUAGCCAUUUCAGCCUCUAUUUCCUUUAGCUCAAGAAUCCUUU
rnacentral:lncRNA from 1 species